rnacentral:rRNA from 1 species
UCAGAGUGAACGCUGGCGGCGUGCCUAAUACAUGCAAGUCGAACGAUGAAGUCCUAGCUUGCUAGGAUGGAUUAGUGGCGCACGGGUGAGUAAUAUAUAGUUAAUCUGCCCUACACAGAGGAACAACAGUUGGAAACGACUGCUAAUACCUCAUACUCCUAUUUGACAUAAGUUAAAUAGGGAAAGUCUUUUCGGUGUAGGAUGAGACUAUAUCGUAUCAGCUAGUUGGUAAGGUAAUGGCUUACCAAGGCUAUGACGCGUAACUGGUCUGAGAGGAUGAUCAGUCACAUUGGAACUGAGACACGGUCCAAACUCCUACGGGAGGCAGCAGUAAGGAAUAUUGCGCAAUGGGGGAAACCCUGACGCAGCAACGCCGCGUGGAGGAUGACACUUUUCGGAGCGUAAACUCCUUUUAUCAGGAAAGAAUAAUGACGGUACCUGAUGAAUAAGCACCGGCUAACUCCGUGCCAGCAGCCGCGGUAAUACGGGGGGUGCAAGCGUUACUCGGAAUCACUGGGCGUAAAGGACGCGUAGGCGGAUUAUCAAGUCCUUUGUGAAAUCUAGUGGCUUAACCACUAAACUGCUUAGGAAACUGAUAGUCUAGAGUAGGGGAGAGGUAGAUGGAAUUCUUGGUGUAGGGGUAAAAUCCGUAGAGAUCAAGAAGAAUACCCAUUGCGAAAGCGAUCUGCUGGAACCUAACUGACGCUGAGGCGUGAAAGCGUGGGUAGCAAACAGGAUUAGAUACCUGGUA